rnacentral:misc_RNA from 1 species
AAAAAAAAAAAAAAAAAACACAAAUCUUUAAUUAAUUGCCCCUUGAUUACACCGAACUGGUAGGUGAAAGUUGCCAAAUUGGUGUCUCAGCAUUCAUUUGCACCGAUCUAACCCCAACGUCAAAAAAACCAAAAAUUUGAAAUUUAUAGCUGCGAAUCUUUCAGUAAUAGACUAAUAGUAAUAUCUAUAGAACCCAUUUGAAUUC